rnacentral:rRNA from 1 species
AGCAGCCGCGGUAAUUCCAGCUCCAAUAGCGUAUAUUAAAGUUGUUGCAGUUAAAAAGCUCGUAGUUGAAUUUCGGGGUCAGUAGGUUGGUCGUGCCACCGGUACGUACUGGUCUCACUGAUUCCUCCUUCCUGAUGAGCUGUAAUGCCAUUAAUUUGGUGUUGCAGGGAAUCUGGACUGUUACUUUGAAAAAUUAGAGUGUUUAAAGCAGGCUAACGCUUGAAUACAUUAGCAUGGAAUAAUGAAAUAGGACGUUCGAUCCUAUUUUGUUGGUUUCUAGGAUUGACGUAAUGAUUAAUAGGGAUAGUUGGGGGCAUUAGUAUUCAAUUGUCAGAGGUGAAAUUCUUGGAUUUAUUGAAGACUAACUACUGCGAAAGCAUUUGCCAAGGAUGUUUUCAUUAAUCAAGAACGAAAGUUAGGGGAUCGAAGACGAUCAGAUACCGUCGUAGUCUUAACCAUAAACUAUAGCCGACUAGGGAUCGGAUGAUGUUAAUUUUUAAUGUA